UACGUAGGGGGCGAGCGUUGUCCGGAAUUAUUGGGCGUAAAGGGUACGCAGGCGGUUCUUUAAGUCUGAUGUGAAAUCUCACAGCUUAACUGUGAGCGGUCAUUGGAAACUGAGGAACUUGAGUAUAGAAGAGAAGAGUGGAAUUCCAAGUGUAGCGGUGAAAUGCGUAGAUAUUUGGAGGAACACCGGUGGCGAAGGCGGCUUUCUGGCCAGUUACUGACGCUCAUGCGCGAAAGCUGGGGUAGCGAACCGGAUUAGAUACCCUUGUAGU
rnacentral:rRNA from 1 species